GACGAACGCUGGCGGCGCGCCUAACACAUGCAAGUCGAACGAGCGAGAGGAGGUUUACUUUCUCAAGCGAGUGGCGAACGGGUGAGUAACGCGUGAGGAACCUGCCUCAAAGAGGGGGACAACAGUUGGAAACGACUGCUAACACCGCAUAAGCCCACGACCCGGCAUCGGGUAGAGGGAAAAGGAGCAAUCCGCUUUGAGAUGGCCUCGCGUCCGAUUAGCUAGUUGGUGAGGUAAUGGCCCACCAAGGCGACGAUCGGUAGCCGGACUGAGAGGUUGAACGGCCACAUUGGGACUGAGACACGGCCCAGACUCCUACGGGAGGCAGCAGUGGGGAAUAUUGCACAAUGGGGGAAACCCUGAUGCAGCGACGCCGCGUGGAGGAAGAAGGUCUUCGGAUUGUAAACUCCUGUUGUGGAGGAAGAUAAUGACGGUACUCAACAAGGAAGUGACGGCUAACUACGUG
rnacentral:rRNA from 1 species